rnacentral:tRNA from 1 species
AAGAAAUUAGUUAAUUUAUAACAUCAGCUUGUCAUGCUGAAAUAAUCUUUAAGAUAUUUCUUG